UUGGAUGUGUAAUUUCUCUUAUCAUUCGUCACAGUCCAAGCUUCAGCUUCUCUUGAAACAAGCACAUUUCUCUAUCAUUCGUCAUAUUUCAACAUGGUGAGCUUAAUUAUGCACUUAUCUGUUAUUAUUUGUAUCACAUGGGACUCUUAGUUAUAUAUGUAUCUUUGCAUUUAUAAUUGAAUAAUUUCUUUUACCAUUAUGUAUUCUUGGGAUGCAUGUCCAAUGGAAGUCAAUAUUGGAGGGGACAAGGAAACAUCAAUUGAGCAUCAGGCAUUAUCUUCCCCUACCCUUCAGAUAUAACAGUGAUUAUUUGAGCAUGAUCUAGCAGAGGUAUAGCAUAGACCAAACCUAGGAGGGUACUAAAGAGGUCAAACACUUGAGAGACAUGAGAAUGAUGCAUCAGAUGGUUUUCUUGAGAGAUUAAUGUUUGAGUGUGAUAUAGGUGAUCAUGACUGUCAGGAGCUUAAGGGGUUACAAACAGCACCAGUUAGAGACAUGUUCUUAAAGCAUUGAAAGAAGGCAUGAGGGUACUGAAGGCUGCCAGUUCGAAGACCUUCCUGUUUGGUUAUGAUACUCUUCUUCCUCUGAUGCUGGAAGAGUCCCUAUCAAGUACAUUUCAGAAAGAUUGCAAGCACCAUUCUAUGUAUGAAAUUGGGAUGUUAGGCUUCAAAUUUCUGUUGGUUAGACUCCUGAAGAUGAGAUGACCCUCAGGUACUCUUCAUGUUGUGUGGAAAGUUCCAGAAUAAUUCAAAAGAAAUCUUUAGAACAAAAUCGCACCAACAUACAUGUACAGCUCACACUGAGGCUUCAUCUAGAAUGGCCUUGGAGUUGCAAAGCUGAUGGGAUGCUAAUAUGAUAAGCUCUCUAUGUCAUAACCUGGAGUUCUCAGUUCAUGUGUGUUUGUGGCGCAUAUAUGGCUCUGUAAGACUGUGACUGUGAGGCUGAGUUAAGGAUCACAUAUUGCUUUCAUUUUUUGGUUAUUUGGGUGUACCUAGGUUGGACUGUUCGAGCAAUGCAUCUGAGGCACCAAUUAGACCUACAUUUGACAAGCUGUAGGGUGGCCAUGAUAGAUAUAUGAAGGGUAAUUUGCUUGUAGACACAAAGCCUGCUUCAUUUACUUUUGUUUCCCCUCAUCACUAGGAGAUUAGUUCCUUUUUGCAGAGGAUUGGGCAAGUACUCCUGCUUCCAAUAUUUGAUUGGGAUCCCAGCCUAGGUCUAAGUUCCCUAUUCCUUUUUGCUGAUACGAAUUUCCCUGUAUGCUGAUCUCUACUUGUGCAGAGAGGAUAAUGAAGUACUUUCCUGUUAGGCAAGGCUAGUUACAAAGAUGUGAAAGACAUCACUAAUUGGCUAUGCUUUAAAGGGAGUCGGAUGUUUAUGGCUUACUGGUGUGUGGCUUGUGAGGUAAUUCUGACUUAAUUUGAGGUUUUGAACAAUAUUCCAAAUGCAUCAUCAAGCUUAGCAUUCAUCGCCCAAAAAUCAGACCUUGUCAAGUUAGUGGAUUCAAGAGAUAUUUUGGAGCUGCAAAUGAAGCAGCUAGAUCUAGAGCUGGUAAUAAGAAGUAAAGCCUUGGAGAAGCCAGCACCACAAGCUCCUGUUGCUUCGGCACUGCCACCACCACUAGCCCCAGCUUUUACAUUUGGUAUCUUGUACUUCUAUUUUGUUUCGAUAAGUGUUUGAACAUGAUAUGGCUAAUGGCUGCAAUGUUGGGGUGACCUUGGAAC